rnacentral:rRNA from 1 species
AAGCAGAGAUCACACCUCGUACCUUUUGCAUCAUGAAUUAGCCAGUACACCUCAAGCAAAAAGCACUUUUAGUUUGACACCCCGAAACUACGUGAGCUACUCCAAGAUAGCCUAUCUAUAGGGCGAACCCGUCUCUGUGGCAAAAGAGUGGGAAAAGCUUCGAGUAGAGGUGACAAGCCUACCGAACCUAGUUAUAGCUGGUUGCCUGGGAAUUGGAUAGAAGUUCAGCCUCUGGGGUUCUCCCAUCAUACAGUUGUCCUAACAUACAACAAACAGACCAAGAGAAACCGCGAGAGUUAGUCGAAGGGGGUACAGCUCCUUCGAAACAAGAUACAACUUUACUAGCAGGGUAUAGAUCACAAUUAAACCAAGGAAAAAGCACGUAGUGGGCCUAAAAGCAGCCAUCUAAACAGAAAGCGUUAAAGCUCAAACAACUACCCCUCCCCCAAUAUCGAUAAUUUAUCUCAACCCCCUACCCACUACCAAGCCAUCCCAUGCCAACAUGGGAGCGACAAUGCUAACAUGAGUAAUAAGAGGGCACAGGGCCCUCUCCUAGCACACGUGUACAUCGGAACGAACCCCCACCGAAAUUUAACGGUCCCAAACAAAGAGGGCACUGAACAACAAACACAACCACUAGAAAACCAUCCAACAUUUAACCGUUAACCCCACACUGGUGUGCUAACAAGGAAAGACUAAAAGAAUGAGAAGGAACUCGGCAAAUAACUAAGCCUCGCCUGUUUACCAAAAACAUCGCCUCUUGCACCCAAACAAGAAUAAGAGGUCCCGCCUGCCCAGUGACAUCUGGUUUAACGGCCGCGGUAUUUUGACCGUGCGAAGGUAGCGUAAUCACUUGUCUUUUAAAUGAAGACCUGUAUGAAUGGCAUGACGAGGGCUUAACUGUCUCCUCCUUCCGGUCAAUGAAAUUGAUCCCCCCGUGCAGAAGCGGGGAUAUUACCAUAAGACGAGAAGACCCUAUGGAGCUUUAAACGCCAGAACAGCCUAUGUCCAAACCUUUUACUCACACAGCGUAAACUCAAUAGACCCUGCUCUAGUGUUUUCGGUUGGGGCGACCAUGAGGAAGACAAAACCCUCAAGUGGAACGGGAGGAAUAAACCCCAAAUACUUCUCACCUCCCACAUACAAGAGCUACAGCUCUAAUCAACAGAAUUUCUGACCAAGAAUGAUCCGGCAGCGCCGAUCAACGAACUAAGUUACCCUAGGGAUAACAGCGCAAUCCUCUUUUAGAGCCCAUAUCGACAAGAGGGUUUACGACCUCGAUGUUGGAUCAGGACAUCCUAUUGGUGCAGCCGCUAUUAAGGGUUC